rnacentral:tRNA from 1 species
CAUCAGAUGACUGAAAGCAAGUACUGGUCUCUUAAACCAAUUAAUAGUAAAUUCGCAAUUACUUCUGGUGA